rnacentral:rRNA from 1 species
CACGUAUUUAGCCAGGGCUUCCUCCUAUGAUACCGUCAUUAUCUUCUCAUAGGACAGAGCUUUACGACUCGAAAGCCUUCUUCGCUCACGCGGCGUCGCUGCAUCAGGGUUUCCCCCAUUGUGCAAUAUUCCCCACUGCUGCCUCCCGUAGGAGUUUGGACCGUGUCUCAGUUCCAAUGUGGCCGUUCAUCCUCUCAGACCGGCUACUGAUCGUCGCCUUGGUAGGCCUUUACCCCACCAACUAGCUAAUCAGACGCGAGCCCAUCUUACACCGGUAUCCCUUUUACCCUUUUACCAUGCGGUAUUGUGGUCUUAUGGGGUAUUAAUCACCGUUUCCAAUGGCUAUCCCCCUGUGUAAGGCAGGUUGCUCACGUGUUACUCACCCGUUCGCCACUUUCAUUACCUUUCAUUCGUCCGAAAACUCAUUCAAAGUAACUCUCGUUCGACUUGCAUGUGUUAAGCACGCCGCCAGCGUUCGUCCUGUAGCCAGGAUCAAACUCU